GUAGGGGGCAAGCGUUAUCCGGAUUUACUGGGUGUAAAGGGAGUGUAGACGGUUUUGCAAGUCUGAAGUGAAAGCCCGGGGCUUAACCCCGGGACUGCUUUGGAAACUGUAGGACUAGAGUGCAGGAGAGGUAAGUGGAAUUCCUAGUGUAGCGGUGAAAUGCGUAGAUAUUAGGAGGAACACCAGUGGCGAAGGCGGCUUACUGGACUGUAACUGACGUUGAGGCUCGAAAGCGUGGGGAGCAAACAGGAUUAGAUACCCUGGUAGUCCACGCCGUAAACGAUGAUUACUAGGUGUUGGUGGGUAUGACCCAUCGGUGCCGCAGCAAACGCAAUAAGUAAUCCACCUGGGGAGUACGUUCGCAAGAAUG
rnacentral:rRNA from 1 species